rnacentral:rRNA from 1 species
GACGAACGCUGGCGGCAUGCCUAAUACAUGCAAGUUGAACGAUGAUAUUCUCUGCUUGCAGAGAAUUGAAGAGUAGCGAACGGGUGAGUAACACGUGGGGAACCUGCCCAUGAGAGGGGGAUAACAUUCGGAAACGGAUGCUAAUACCGCAUAAUGCUUUGGACCGCCUGGUCCAGAGACGACAGACGGCUUUUGCUGUCACUCAUGGAUGGCCCCGCGCCGUAUUAGCUAGUUGGUGAGGUAAUGGCUCACCAAAGCUGUGAUACGUAGCCGACCUGAGAGGGUGAUCGGCCACACUGGGACUGAGCAACGGCCCAGACUCCUACGGGAGGCAGCAGUAGGGAAUCUUCCACAAUGGGCGAAAGCCUGAUGGAGCAAUGCCGCGUGAAUGAAGAAGGUCUUCGGAUCGUAAAGUUCUGUUAUUAGAGAAGAACAAGUCAAGGAGUAACUGUCUUGACUUUGACGGUACCUAACCAGAAAGUCACGGCUAACUACGUG